CCAGACUCCUACGGGAGGCAGCAGUGAGGAAUAUUGGUCAAUGGGCGGAAGCCUGAACCAGCCAAGUCGCGUGAGGGAUGACGGUCCUAUGGAUUGUAAACCUCUUUUGUCAGGGAGCAAAGGGCGCCACGUGUGGCGUUUUGCGAGUACCUGAAGAAAAAGCAUCGGCUAACUCCGUGCCAGCAGCCGCGGUAAUACGGAGGAUGCGAGCGUUAUCCGGAUUUAUUGGGUUUAAAGGGUGCGUAGGCGGAACAUUAAGUCAGCGGUAAAAUCGAGGGGCUCAACCCCUUUAAGCCGUUGAAACUGGUGAUCUUGAGUGGGCGAGAAGUAUGCGGAAUGCGUGGUGUAGCGGUGAAAUGCAUAGAUAUCACGCAGAACUCCGAUUGCGAAGGCAGCAUACCGGCGCCCGACUGACGCUGAGGCACGAAAGCGUGGGUAUCGAACAGGAUUAGAUACCCUUGUA
rnacentral:rRNA from 1 species